rnacentral:rRNA from 1 species
GAUGAACGCUGGCGGCGUGCCUAACACAUGCAAGUCGAGCGAUCUUCUUCGGAAGAGAGCGGCGGACGGGUGAGUAACGCGUGGGUAACCUGCCCUGUACACACGGAUAACAUACCGAAAGGUAUGCUAAUACGAGAUAACAUACUUUUAUCGCAUGGCAGAAUUAUCAAAGCUCCGGCGGUACAGGAUGGACCCGCGUCUGAUUAGCUAGUUGGUAAGGUACCGGCUUACCAAGGCUGCGAUCAGUAGCCGCUCUGAGAGUGAGAUCGGCCAAAUUGGAACUCAGACGCGGUCGACACUGCUACUGGAGGCAGCGGUGGGGAAUAUUGCACAAAGGGAGAAAUCUUUAUGCAGUAACGACGCAUGAGCGAAGAAGGCCUUCUGGUCGUAAAGCUAGGUCCUCAAGGAAGAUACUGACUGAACUUGAAGAGGAAGCCGCGGCUAACUACGUGCCACCCGCCGCCGUAA